GGGUCCGGACACACUGAGGAUUGACAGGCAAAAGAUACAAGUUUUCUUUGAAAGCUUGCAUUGUAAAAUAUGCGAGUCCUUUCAUGAUUAUGUGAUAGGUGGUGCAUGGCCGUUCUUAGUUCGUGGAGUGAUCUGUCUGCUUAAUUGCGUUUCACAACGAUUUAAAAUGCUAUGUUUUCUGUGUUUGCUGUUCGGUUUUAGCUCUUACGGGAGUUUUUAACUUUGAACGCACACGGCGUAGCUUAAAACAAUCGGAAAGCAACGAACGUGACCGCAACCUCUUGUUGCCUUUAUUUUUAAAAGCGUAGAAAAUUUUAUAUUUUCUUACGCUUGAAAAAGGCUUUAAAACUAGAGGGACCGCCGUUCUAUUCUCUUAAACCAGAGGAAGAUUGCGGCAAUAACAGGUCUGUGAUGCCCUCAGAUGUUCCGGGCUGCACACGUGCUACAAUGAUUGUUGCAGUGAGCAUCUAUUUUCAAACGCUACCGUUGCGGAUUUUGUGAGAAGGGGGCUUGUUUUAAAGCUUUCGGGUGGAGAAGCAGGUUCUUUUUUUUCACAAUUUAUUCCGCG
rnacentral:rRNA from 1 species